AGUGAACGCUGGCGGCAGGCCUAAUACAUGCAAGUCGAACGGCAGCACAGCUUAAGCUUGCUUAAGUGGGUGGCGAGUGGCGGACGGGUGAGGAAUACGUGGGAAUCUGCCCAGUCGUGGGGGAUAACGUAGGGAAACUUACGCUAAUACCGCAUGCGCCCUUUGGGGAAAAGCCGGGGAUCUUCGGACCUGGCGCGAUUGGAUGAGCCCACGUCGGAUUAGCUAGUUGGGGGGGUAAAGGCCCACCAAGGCGACGAUCCGUAGCUGGUCUGAGAGGAUGAUCAGCCACCCUGGAACUGAGACACGGUCCAGACUCCUACGGGAGGCAGCAGUAGGGAAUAUUGGACAAUGGGCGCAAGCCUGAUCCAGCCAUGCCGCGUGAGUGAAGAAGGCCCUCGGGUUGUAAAGCUCUUUUGUUGGGGAAGAAAAGCCUUGGGUUAAUACCCUGAGGUUCUGACGGUACCCAAAGAAUAAGCACCGGCUAACUUCGUGCCAGCCGCCGCCGUAAAAC
rnacentral:rRNA from 1 species